rnacentral:rRNA from 1 species
UUGGUGAGAGCCGAGGGUGCCUUCGGGAGCCAGAACACAGGUGCUGCAUGGCUGUCGUCAGCUCGUGUCGUGAGAUGUUGGGUUAAGUCCCGCAACGAGCGCAACCCUUGUCACUAGUUGCCAUCAUUUAGUUGGGCACUCUAGUGAGACUGCCGGUGACAAACCGGAGGAAGGUGGGGAUGACGUCAAGUCCUCAUGGCCCUUAUGGGUAGGGCUUCACACGUCAUACAAUGGUCGGUACAGAGGGUUGCCAAGCCGCGAGGUGGAGCCAAUCCCAUAAAGCCAUUCGUAGUCCGGAUCGCAGUCUGCAACUCGACUGCGUGAAGUCGGAAUCGCUAGUAAUCGUGGAUCAGAAUGUCACGGUGAAUACGUUCCCGGGUCUU